rnacentral:rRNA from 1 species
CGCUGGCGGCAUGCCUAACACAUGCAAGUCGAACGAGACUUCGGGUCUAGUGGCGCACGGGUGCGUAACACGUGGGAAUUUGCCUCGGGGUAUGGAAUAACUCAGGGAAACUUGAGCUAAUACCAUAUAAUGUCUUCGGACCAAAGAUUUAUCGCCCUGAGAUAAGCCCGCGUAGGAUUAGCUAGUUGGUGAGGUAAAGGCUCACCAAGGCGACGAUCCUUAGCUGGUCUGAGAGGAUGAUCAGCCACACUGGGACUGAGACACGGCCCCAGACUCCUACGGGAGGCAGCAGUGGGGAAUUUUGGACAAUGGGCGCAAGCCUGAUCCAGCAAUGCCGCGUGCAGGAUGAAGGCCUUCGGGUUGUAAACUGCUUUUGUACGGAACGAAACGGUGAGCUCUAAUACAGUUUGCUAAUGACGGUACCGUAAGAAUAAGCACCGGCUAACUACGUG